GCUCAACCGGGGAGGGUCAUUGGAAACUGGGGAACUUGAGUGCAGAAGAGGAGGGUGGAAUUCCACGUGUAGCGGUGAAAUGCGUAGAGAUGUGGAGGAACACCAGUGGCGAAGGCGACUCUCUGGUCUGUAACUGACGCUGAGGCGCGAAAGCGUGGGGAGCGAACAGGAUUAGAUACCCUGGUAGUCCACGCCGUAAACGAUGAGUGCUAAGUGUUAGGGGGUUUCCGCCCUUUAGUGCUGCAGCAAACGCAUUAAGCACUCCGCCUGGGGAGUACGGUCGCAAGACUGAAACUCAAAGGAAUUGACGGGGGCCCGCACAAGCGGUGGAGCAUGUGGUUUAACUCGAAGCAACGCGAAGAACCUUACCAGGUCUUGACAUCCUCUGACAACCCUAGAGAUAGGGCUUCCCCUUCGGGGGCAGAGUGACAGGUGGUGCAUGGUUGUCGUCAGCUCGUGUCGUGAGAUGUUGGGUUAAGUCCCGCAACGAGCGCAACCCUUGAUCUUAGUUGCCAGCAUUCAGUUGGGCACUCUAAGGUGACUGCCGGUGACAAACCGGAGGAAGGUGGGGAUGACGUCAAAUCAUCAUGCCCCUUAUGACCUGGGCUACACACGUGCUACAAUGGGCAGAACAAAG
rnacentral:rRNA from 1 species